CGUGAGGGCGACACGUAAGCACCGCGCAGAACGUUGCCGUUGCACGCAGGAGCGAGGCAAAACCGUGCAGCACGCACACUUCCACAAGCACCCGUGCGCACCCUCGCUCAAUACUUCUUCUUGGUACUUGUCUUGCAAUCGUACAUGUUGUGGUCACAGCGGGCGUUCUUGGCGGUGGCCGGUGCAGGGGCCAUGCUGAGCGUGGGGCACUACCUUACCAAAGUGCGGUCUAUCACAGGUCAGGUUCCAGUGCACUUCAACCUUUUCGGCGUCCCGGACGGCACCGCCGCGUCGUGGGCGUUCGUCAUGUACCCCAUCAUAUCUCUGGGACUGACCGCGGCCAUGGUGUACACCGCACUGGCACCAAAUGCCAGGGCAGCAUUGCCACACAAUUCUGUGGAGCAAGUCUCGUCGCGCGCCUCGCUGUUGUGUGCACAGGUUGCCGUCUUAGCCUGCCAAUACUAUGCUGCCCGCAUCGCUGAAGGCAGCGCGGAAAGGCUGUCGUCGCCGCUAAUGUGCGUGCUCUACGGCACGCUUGCUGCCGCCUCAGUUGCCGUGCUGGCGACCAAGAAUACGACGCAUGCUCAGUGAUCACACACACCCCCUCCACCCGUUGGCGGCAUCUUGCGGGGUUUGGCUGAAAGGGAGAGGGGGAGGAGGGGGCUUUGUACGAACACUGACCACCACACCGGCUCACAUGGCAUUCUUCUCGUUCUCACGCCGUUGUCGGGUGGAGCUGAUGUGCUCUCCACAAACGCAGCCGCGUAGUUGCGCGGCAGCAUUUUUUUUUUUGCGCUGUCCACCCUUCGACACUCAACACGGGCGCACCUCCACACACGAUCCCGUUUUUUUCUCUAUUGUGCUGCUCCUGCUGUUGUGCUCUCUGCAGCAUGGGACGGCAUGCCCACUGCGCUCCUGCUUGCCUGCAUGCGCUUCUGCCAUCGGCUCAUUCGCGUACCCGGUUGGUUUUGCGUUUUGUUGGCAUUGCUGCAAGCUCUCCCUUUUACUUUUCACGCGCAGAAACACAGGUACGUGCACCUCUUCCCGGCAUCCUCCCCAGCUCCCGCUUUUCUUUGAUACCCGUUUCCCUCGAGCUCACUCCUGGACCAUCCAGGCCGUGAUGCCCUUGCGCACGCACCCCCCCCCUCCCGUUGCAUACCUCUCUCAAGCACCCCACGCUGAGGGGUCGAACAAAGGAGAGACGCGCCAGUUGUGCAUAUCGCGGAGGUUCUCCCGCAGCUACGCCGGCGCGGUGCUCUUUUCGACGCUGACGUGGCGCUGCGCAGCGAGAGCGGGGUGACGUGUGGACACUUUUGGUGAGCGGUGUGGAGGUUUCAAAGCUUUCAGAGAAUCCGCCGGCAGCUUCAGCGCGCAUCAAGACCCGCUAUGGAAAGAGUGCGACGUUCUACGGGGGAGCCAUGCGAUAGGGGCGCGACUGCAGCGAGAGGACGCUUCACUGCCGCUGAAACUGGUGGCGCGUCGGAGUCUAACGCAGCACCUCUUCGCGGACGUGGCGAGCUCAAGCGGACCCCGCGCGAACCCAGCGGAAGCCGUUUCCUCCAUCUGGAAGGGCGCGGCACCCUACCUUGAGGGGUGAGGGGAAGUGGCGAACAGUGUGCCCAAAGCAGACCUCAUGCAGGUUGCACGCCGUGCACGAGCAGGCACGUUCAAGCGGUACCUGGGCUAUGGCCUGCAGCUAACGCAGGAGGCCGUAGCCGCACAGGAAAGCGCCGCCCGAGAGAGUCGACGGUGCUAGGGGUGCCAAAAGCGGCGUAUGCAGGGGCCUUCACCGGUGGUGCUGCCCGACGCGGGCCAGUGACCUUUACACGUGAAGCACACCACUCCACUGCACCUAGCAGCGGGGAGGGGGAUUCCCACAGCCCGCAGCAUUACAAAGGCAUUUCUGGAUCAGGCCAUCAAGCACUUUUACGAAAAGCGAUUUGCGGGGUGGCGCGCCUCUUGUACAGUGACGUCGGCGUUAUUUCCGCCAGCAGGCGCCCUUCGAUGAAUGGCAGCCGUGCAUCCGCAAGGUUCGGCCGGCGAAGGCCGCCCACGCGAUUGCCACAACGCGGUCUAGGCGGUGACAAACCUUCCUCAAUAUUCUUUCGCCCUUCAUCGCUGACCGCUGGAUGGGCAGCUUCAAGCGCAGCUAUGGAGGAAGGGCCACUGCAUAGAGUCUAGACCGGUGCCCAGGCGUAUCCCGCUACCCUCCCCCCAUGCACUGCAACCUUACGGGCCCAAAAGCAAGCAACUAUGCAGCUAACGUCGGGCAGCGCACACGCCACCGCUUACGCUGUCUCUCCUGCACUCUUUGCUCACCUCGACGCUGGGCGGACCGCUGCCGUGUGCGACGCGCACACACACACAGAUGAACCCGAUCUGAAUUCAGAGCUGCUACGCCCCCAUCGGUGAGUGCAACUGUGUGUGUGUGGGGGGGGGGCGAGGUCUGACCCUGACCACACGUAUGCUUAACGCCUGAAUGCGACCCGCGAGCGUAGCGAAGGCGCGGCGAAAUGUUUCUUCUCCAAGAUGCGGAGGAAUGCUGUAAAGCGCAUGCAGCUAGCAGAAGAGCCAUUAGAGUGCGCUGCGUUCUUUCUCUCCCCUCUCCCUCGAACCAAUCUAUUGGCAAG
rnacentral:misc_RNA from 1 species